UUCUAGGUUAUCUAAUUUGUUGGCAUAAAAUUGCUCAUAGUAAUUUCUUAUGAUUCUUUAUCUUUGUGUUAUCAGUGGUAAUGUAUCCCCUUUCACUUCUGAUCAUAUUGAGUCUUCUCUUUUUUGCCUAGUUAGUCUAGCUAAAGGCUUGCACAUCUUUUUUUUUCUAAUCUUUAAAAAAACAGCUCUUAGUUUCAGUGAUCGUCUCUUGUAUUUCUAGUCCCUGUUUCAUUUAUGUCUGCCCUAAUUUUUAUUUCCUUCCUUCAGAUAACAUUAGGCUUAGUAUGUUGUUUAGUUCUUUGAGGUUUUUUAGUUGUUAUUUUUGUUAGGUUGUUUAUUUGAAACCUUUCUUUUUUAUUAAUGUAGACUUUUAUCAUUAUAAACUUCCCUCUUAGAACUGUUUUUGCUGCACCUCAUAAGUUUUAGUAUGUUGUGUUUCAUUUUCAGUUGUCUCAAAAUAUCUUUCUAAUUUCUCUUGUAAUUUCUUCCUCGACCCAUUGGUUGUUUAAAAGUGUGCUGUUUAAUUUCCACAUAUUUGUGAAUUUUCGUUUCCCUUCUGUUACUGAGUUCUAGUUUUAUUCCAUUGUGAUAGCAAAAGACUCAUUGUAUGAUUUCAGUAGUUUUUUUGUUUUUUUGCGGU